UACAUACUCCCUCCGUCCCAAAAUUCUUGUCUUAGAUUAGUCUAUAUACGGAUGUAUCUAAUACUAAAACAUGACUUGAUACAUCUGUAUUUAGACAAAUCUAAGACAAGAAUUUUAGGACGGAGGGAGUACAAA
rfam:Triticum aestivum genome assembly, contig: Triticum_aestivum_CS42_TGACv1_scaffold_361221_4DS